rnacentral:rRNA from 1 species
CUUACACAUGCAAGUCGAGCGCCCCGCAAGGGGAGCGGCAGACGGGAGAGUAACACGUGGGAACGUACCCUUCGGUUCGGAACAACCCAGGGAAACUUGGGUUAAUACCGGAUACGUCCGAAAGGAGAAAGAUUCAUCGCCGAAGGAUCGGCCCGCGUCUGAUUAGCUAGUUGGUGAGGUAACGGCUCACCAAGGCGACGAUCAGUAGCUGGUCUGAGAGGAUGAUCAGCCUCACUGGGACUGAGACACGGCCCAGACUCCUACGGGAGGCAGCAGUGGGGAAUAUUGGACAAUGGGCGCAAGCCUGAUCCAGCCAUGCCGCGUGGAUGAUGAAGGCCCUAGGGUUGUAAAGUCCUUUCGGCGGGGAAGAUAAUGACGGUACCCGCAGAAGAAGCCCCGGCUAACUUCGUGCCAGCAGCCGCGGUAAUACGAAGGGGGCUAGCGUUGCUCGGAAUCACUGGGCGUAAAGCGCACGUAGGCGGCUUUCUAAGUCAGGGGUGAAAUCCUGGAGCUCAACUCCAGAACUGCCUUUGAUACUGGAAAGCUUGA